GAUGAACGCUGGCGGCGUGCCUAAUACAUGCAAGUCGAGCGAACAGACGAGGAGCUUGCUCCUCUGACGUUAGCGGCGGACGGGUGAGUAACACGUGGAUAACCUACCUAUAAGACUGGGAUAACUUCGGGAAACCGGAGCUAAUACCGGAUAAUAUAUUGAACCGCAUGGUUCGAUAGUGAAAGACGGCUUUGCUGUCACUUAUAGAUGGAUCCGCGCCGCAUUAGCUAGUUGGUAAGGUAACGGCUUACCAAGGCAACGAUGCGUAGCCGACCUGAGAGGGGGAUCGGCCACACGGGAACGUGGACACGGUCCAGGCGCCUACGGGAGGCAGCAGAAGGGAAUCUUCCGCAAUGGGCGAAAGCUUGGCGGAGCAACGCCGCGUGAGUGAUGAAGGUCUUCGGAUCGUAAAACUCUGUUAUUAGGGAAGAACAAAUGUGUAAGUAACUAUGCACGUCUUGACGGUACCUAAUCAGAAAGCCACGGCUAACUACGUG
rnacentral:rRNA from 1 species